AAAUUGAAGAGUUUGAUCAUGGCUCAGAUUGAACGCUGGCGGCAGGCCUAACACAUGCAAGUCGAGCGGUAGCACAGAGAGCUUGCUCUCGGGUGACGAGCGGCGGACGGGUGAGUAAUGUCUGGGAAACUGCCUGAUGGAGGGGGAUAACUACUGGAAACGGUAGCUAAUACCGCAUAACGUCGCAAGACCAAAGUGGGGGACCUUCGGGCCUCAUGCCAUCAGAUGUGCCCAGAUGGGAUUAGCUAGUAGGUGGGGUAACGGCUCACCUAGGCGACGAUCCCUAGCUGGUCUGAGAGGAUGACCAGCCACACUGGAACUGAGACACGGUCCAGACUCCUACGGGAGGCAGCAGUGGGGAAUAUUGCACAAUGGGCGCAAGCCUGAUGCAGCCAUGCCGCGUGUGUGAAGAAGGCCUUCGGGUUGUAAAGCACUUUCAGCGGGGAGGAAGGCGUUAAGGUUAAUAACCUCAUCGAUUGACGUUACCCGCAGAAGAAGCACCGGCUAACUCCGUGCCAGCAGCCGCGGUAAUACGGAGGGUGCAAGCGUUAAUCGGAAUUACUGGGCGUAAAGCGCACGCAGGCGGUCUGUCAAGUCGGAUGUGAAAUCCCCGGGCUCAACCUGGGAACUGCAUUCGAAACUGGCAGGCUAGAGUCUUGUAGAGGGGGGUAGAAUUCCAGGUGUAGCGGUGAAAUGCGUAGAGAUCUGGAGGAAUACCGGUGGCGAAGGCGGCCCCCUGGACAAAGACUGACGCUCAGGUGCGAAAGCGUGGGGAGCAAACAGGAUUAGAUACCCUGGUAGUCCACGCCGUAAACGAUGUCGAUUUGGAGGUUGUGCCCUUGAGGCGUGGCUUCCGGAGCUAACGCGUUAAAUCGACCGCCUGGGGAGUACGGCCGCAAGGUUAAAACUCAAAUGAAUUGACGGGGGCCCGCACAAGCGGUGGAGCAUGUGGUUUAAUUCGAUGCAACGCGAAGAACCUUACCUGGUCUUGACAUCCACAGAACUUUCCAGAGAUGGAUUGGUGCCUUCGGGAACUGUGAGACAGGUGCUGCAUGGCUGUCGUCAGCUCGUGUUGUGAAAUGUUGGGUUAAGUCCCGCAACGAGCGCAACCCUUAUCCUUUGUUGCCAGCGGUUAGGCCGGGAACUCAAAGGAGACUGCCAGUGAUAAACUGGAGGAAGGUGGGGAUGACGUCAAGUCAUCAUGGCCCUUACGACCAGGGCUACACACGUGCUACAAUGGCAUAUACAAAGAGAAGCGACCUCGCGAGAGCAAGCGGACCUCAUAAAGUAUGUCGUAGUCCGGAUUGGAGUCUGCAACUCGACUCCAUGAAGUCGGAAUCGCUAGUAAUCGUAGAUCAGAAUGCUACGGUGAAUACGUUCCCGGGCCUUGUACACACCGCCCGUCACACCAUGGGAGUGGGUUGCAAAAGAAGUAGGUAGCUUAACCUUCGGGAGGGCGCUUACCACUUUGUGAUUCAUGACUGGGGUGAAGUCGUAACAAGGUAACCGUAGGGGAACCUGCGGUUGGAUCACCUCCUUACCUUAAAGAA
rnacentral:rRNA from 1 species